rnacentral:lncRNA from 1 species
UCAUAUUCUCUAUCUUAGGGGAGAGUCUCUGUCUAAAACAGGGAUUUCUAACUAUAUCAACGAACUCUUUUUUAUUCAUCUUAUACUUGGGCGCUCUUUGACAGUCACUUAAGAGCACAAUCAUCCUUCUUUCUUGAUUAUAAGGAGGGAUAACAUAGUCGCUCAACUUACUUGGAGAGUGAGUGAAACAUCCUUAGCAGAACCGGCUUUCUUGACAUAAUUUCGAGAAAAGCAGCUGCCCUCUUGGACUCUCAGGGAGCCUGGGAAAAGGAAGGAGUCUCGAUACCCACCUAGGGAAAAAGAAGCUUAGCGCCUUAGAGAUCGAAGAUCUUAGUCAUCAGAAAAAGAGCAAGUAGAACUUCAGAUUGAUGAGCUUCUUGCUUCAAAGGAAGAACUGCUUGAUCUCGAUAACUCUAUUACUUCUGGUCUGAGCUAGAGAAAUGAGGAGGUGCUCGCGGAUUUGACAGAGUAGAAAAAGAAGUUGGAGACGGAGUCCGAGCAAGCUAAG